rfam:Nelumbo nucifera unplaced genomic scaffold scaffold00040, whole genome shotgun sequence
ACGAGGUGACUGAUGAAAUUCAUGGUUUGUCAAUCCACUGAAAUUAUUAGUGUGAUGUUAAUCAUGAAUCCCAACAUGUUCUGAUUGU